rnacentral:rRNA from 1 species
GAGUUUGAUCAUGGCUCAGAACGAACGCUGGCGGCAUGCUUAACACAUGCAAGUUGAACGAGAAAGCUUUUCGGAGCGAGUAGAGUGGCGCACGGGUGAGUAACGCGUAGAUAAUCUACCCUUAAGUCAGGGAUAACUCUUCGAAAGGGGGGCUAAUACCUGAUAACAAUGAAGAUCGAGUGUUUUUUAUUUGAAAGUGUUAGCGCUUAAGGAUGAGUCUGCGUCCCAUUAGCUAGUUGGUGGGGUAAUGGCCUACCAAGGUUACGAUGGGUAGCGGGUUUGAGAGGAUGAUCCGCCACACUGGCACUGAGACACGGGCCAGACUCCUACGGGAGGCAGCAGUGGGGAAUAUUGCGCAAUGGGCGAAAGCCUGACGCAGCAAUGCCGCGUGAGCGAAGAAGGCCCUCGGGUCGUAAAGCUCUUUAUCUCUGGGAAGAUAAUGACGGUACCAGAGGAAUAAGCACCGGCUAACUACGUGCCAGCAGCCGCGGUAAUACGUAGGGUGCAAGCGUUGUUCGGAAUCACUGGGCGUAAAGGGCGUGUAGGCGGAAUA